rnacentral:rRNA from 1 species
AUUGAACGCUGGCGGCAGGCCUAACACAUGCAAGUCGAACGGUAACAGGAAGAAGCUUGCUUCUUUGCUGACGAGUGGCGGACGGGUGAGUAAUGUCUGGGAAACUGCCUGAUGGAGGGGGAUAACUACUGGAAACGGUAGCUAAUACCGCAUAACGUCGCAAGACCAAAGAGGGGGACCUUCGGGCCUCUUGCCAUCGGAUGUGCCCAGAUGGGAUUAGCUAGUAGGUGGGGUAACGGCUCACCUAGUCGACGAUCCCUAGCUGGUCUGAGAGGAUGACCAGCCACACUGGAACUGAGACACGGUCCAGGCUCCUACGGGAGGCAGCAGUGGGGAAUAUUGCACAAUGGGCGCAAGCCUGAUGCAGCCAUGCCGCGUGUAUGAAGAAGGCCUUCGGGUUGUAAAGUACUUUCAGCGGGGAGGAAGGGAGUAAAGUUAAUACCUUUGCUCAUUGACGUUACCCGCAGAAGAAGCACCGGCUAACUCCGUG